UAGUCCACACCGUAAACGAUGAGAGCUAGUUGUCUGCAAGCAUGCUUGUAGGUGACGCAGCUAACGCAUUAAGCUCUCCGCCUGGGGAGUACGGUCGCAAGAUUAAAACUCAAAGAAAUUGACGGGGGCCCGCACAAGCGGUGGAGCAUGUGGUUUAAUUCGAAGCAACGCGAAGAACCUUACCUGGACUUGACAUGCCUGUCGUACCCUAUCGAAAGACUGGGGUCAGCUAGGCUGGACAGUGCACAGGUGCUGCAUGGCUGCCGUCAGCUCGUGCCGUGAGGUGUUGGGUUAAGUCCCGCAACGAGCGCAACCCUUAUCGUUAGUUGCCAUCAGACAGUGAUGUGCUGGGCACUCUAACGAGACUGCCGGUGAUAAGCCGGAGGAAGGUGGGAUGACGUCAAGUCAGUAUGGCCCUUAUGUCCAGGGCUGCACACGUGCUACAAUGGAUGGUAUAAUGGGUCGCCAAACCGCGG
rnacentral:rRNA from 1 species